rnacentral:rRNA from 1 species
AUACCAGCUCUCCGAGUGGUAGGGAUGAUUAUUGGGCUUAAAGCGUCCGUAGCCGGCUUAGCAAGUUUCCUGUUAAACCCAGCGACUCAAUCGUUGGAUCGCGGGAAAUACUACUAGGCUAGGAGGCGGGAGAGGUCAACGGUACUUCUGGGGUAGGGGUGAAAUCCUAUAAUCCCGGGAGGACCACCAGUGGCGAAGGCUGUUGACUAGAACGCGCUCGACGGUGAGGGACGAAAGCUGGGGGAGCGAACCGGAUUAGAUACCCGGGUAGUCCCAGCUGUAAACGAUGCGAGCUAGGUGUUGGAAUGGCUACGGGCCAUUUCAGUGCCGCAGGGAAGCCAUUAAGCUCGCCGCCUGGGGAGUACGGCCGCAAGGCUGAA